rnacentral:rRNA from 1 species
GAGGAAGUAAAAGUCGUAACAAGGUUUCCGUAGGUGAACCUGCGGAAGGAUCAUUAACGAGUUUGAAAUCGAGAGCCUGUUGCUGGUGCGGAAACGCACAUCGUGCACGGCUCCCGUGCUCAAUCCAUUUCAACCCCCUUGUGCACCUUAUCGAAGUCAGUAGUCUUUCUCUUUUUGUUUGCCGGUUGUGUGCGGGAACCUCUUUCUGUUCACUUGGCCGGCGAGGAGAAAUAGAGGGUCGAAAGCUUUGACUUUUCUAUUAAACACUUUGUAUGUCUUGUGGAACGUAUUAGCUCCUUUGUAGGGGCGAAAUAAAUACAACUUUCAACAACGGAUCUCUUGGCUCUCGCAUCGAUGAAGAACGCAGCGAAAUGCGAUAAGUAAUGUGAAUUGCAGAAUUCAGUGAAUCAUCGAAUCUUUGAACGCACCUUGCGCCCCUUGGUAUUCCGAGGGGCAUGCCUGUUUGAGUGUCAUGUUAAUCUCAAACCCCUUGUCUUUUUUGUUGACUUGGUCGGUUUGGACUUGGAGGUGUUGCUGGCGUGCGUCGGCUCCUCUUAAUUGCAUUAGCUGGACUUUGGUUCGCAUUUGACGGUGUAAUAGUAAAGUGUUCGCCGGGCGUGCUUGCCUAACGGGUCUGCUUCUAAUCGUCUUCGGACAACUCUGUUCAUUUUGACCUUUGACCUCAAAUCAGGUAGGACUACCCGCUGAACUUAAGCAUAUCAAUAAGCGGAGGAAAAGAAACUAACAAGGAUUCCCCUAGUAACUGCGAGUGAAGCGGGAAGAGCUCAAAUUUAAAAUCUGGCGGCUUUCGGUCGUCCGAGUUGUAAUCUGGAGAGGCAUUUUC